rfam:Schistosoma mattheei strain Denwood, Zambia genome assembly, scaffold: SMTD_scaffold0002090
AUUCAGCUGACGAGUCUCAAACGGGACGAAAGGUGAAUCUUGGAU